rnacentral:rRNA from 1 species
AGUAGUUUGAUCAUGGCUCAGAUUGAACGCUGGCGGCAUGCUUUACACAUGCGAGUCGAACGGCAGCGACGGGGCAACCCUGGUGGCGAGUGGCGAACGGGUGAGUAAUAUAGUCGGAACGUACCCGGAAGUGGGGAUAACGUAGCGAAAGUUACGCUAAUACCGCAUAUGCCCUAAGGGGGAAAGCGGGGGAUUCGCAAGAACCUCGCGUUUUCGGAGCGGCCGAUAUCGGAUUAGCUAGUAGGUGAGGUAAAGGCUCACCUAGGCGACGAUCCGUAGCUGGUCUGAGAGGACGACCAGCCACACUGGAACUGAGACACGGUCCAGACUCCUACGGGAGGCAGCAGUGGGGAAUUUUGGGACAAUGGGCGCAAGCCUGAUCCAGCCAUGCCGCGUGAGUGAAGAAGGCCUUCGGGUUGUAAAGCUCUUUCAGCCGGAAAGAAAACGCACGGGUUAAUAACCUGUGUGGAUGACGGUACCGGAAGAAGAAGCACCGGCUAACUACGUG